UAAGCAUAUCAAUAAGCGGAGGAAAAGAAACCAACAGGGAUUGCCCUAGUAACGGCGAGUGAAGCGGCAACAGCUCAAAUUUGAAAUCUGGCUCUCGGGCCCGAGUUGUAAUUUGUAGAGGAUGCUUUUGAUGCGGUGCCUUCCGAGUUCCCUGGAACGGGACGCCAUAGAGGGUGAGAGCCCCGUCUGGUUGGAUGCCAAAUCUCUGUAAAGCUCCUUCAACGAGUCGAGUAGUUUGGGAAUGCUGCUCUAAAUGGGAGGUAUAUGUCUUCUAAAGCUAAAUACCGGCCAGAGACCGAUAGCGCACAAGUAGAGUGAUCGAAAGAUGAAAAGCACUUUGAAAAGAGAGUUAAAAAGUACGUGAAAUUGUUGAAAGGGAAGCGUUUAUGACCAGACUUGGACUUGGUUAAUCAUCUGGGGUUCUCCCCAGUGCACUUUUCCAGUUCAGGCCAGCAUCAGUUUUCCCCGGGGGAUAAAGGCGGCGGGAAUGUGGCUCUCUUCGGGGAGUGUUAUAGCCCGCCGUGUAAUACCCUGGGGGGGACUGAGGUUCGCGCAUCUGCAAGGAUGCUGGCGUAAUGGUCAUCAACGACCCGUCUUGAAACACGGACCAAGGAGUCGUCUUCGUAUGCGAGUGUUCGGGUGUCAAACCCCUACGCGUAAUGAAAGUGAACGCAGGUGAGAGCUUCGGCGCAUCAUCGACCGAUCCUGAUGUUCUCGGAUGGAUUUGAGUAAGAGCAUACGGGGCCGGACCCGAAAGAAGGUGAACUAUGCCUGUAUAGGGUGAAGCCAGAGGAAACUCUGGUGGAGGCUCGCAGCGGUUCUGACGUGCAAAUCGAUCGUCAAAUAUGGGCAUGGGGGCGAAAGACUAAUCGAACCUUCUAGUAGCUGGUUUCCGCC
rnacentral:rRNA from 1 species